rnacentral:rRNA from 1 species
UGGGGGAUAUUGCACAAUGGGGGAAACCCUGAUGCAGCAACGCAGCGUGAAGGAAGAAGGUCUUCGGAUUGUAAACUUUUGUCUUGCGGGACGAAUAAUGACGGUACCGCAGGUGGAAGCCACGGCUAACUACGUGCCAGAAGCCGCGGUAAUACGUAGGUGGCGAGCGUUAUCCGGAAUUACUGGGUGUAAAGGGUGCGUAGGCGGAUUUGCAAGUCAGGUGUGAAAACUAUCGGCUUAACCGGUAGCCUGCACUUGAAACUGUGAGUCAUGAGUGGUGAAGAGGUAAGCGGAAUUCCUAGUGUAGCGGUGAAAUGCGUAGAUAUUAGGAGGAACACCAGUGGCGAAGGCGGCUUACUGGGCACUAACUGACGCUGAGGCACGAAAGCAUGGGGAGCAAACA